AUUGAACGCUGGCGGCAUGCCUAACACAUGCAAGUCGAACGGGGUGUAGCAAUACAUCUAGUGGCGGACGGGUGAGGAAUACAUAGGAAUUUGCCCUUAAGUGGGGGAUAGUCCGGGGAAACUCGGUUUAAUACCGCAUGAUCUCGUGAGAGCAAAGCAGGGGACCGGCAAGGCCUUGCGCUUUUGGAGAAGCCUAUGUCGGAUUAGCUAGUUGGUAGGGUAAUGGCCUACCAAGGCGACGAUCCGUAACUGGUCUGAGAGGAUGAUCAGUCACACCGGAACUGAGACACGGUCCGGACUCCUACGGGAGGCAGCAGUGGGGAAUAUUGGACAAUGGCGCAAGCCUGAUCCAGCAAUGCCGCGUGUGUGAAGAAGGCCU
rnacentral:rRNA from 1 species